rnacentral:rRNA from 1 species
AACGAACGCUGGCGGCGCGCCUAAUACAUGCAAGUCGAGCGAGAAGGUGUAGCAAUACACUUGUAAAGCGGCGAACGGGUGAGGAAUACAUGGGUAAUCUACCAUCGAGUGGGGAAUAACCAGCCGAAAGGUUGGCUAAUACCGCGUACGCCUCCGGAUCUUCGGGUUCGGAGGGAAAGCCACACUGUGAGUGCGGCGCUCUUUGAUGAGCUCAUGUCCUAUCAGCUUGUUGGUAGGGUAACGGCCUACCAAGGCUUUGACGGGUAGCUGGUCUGAGAGGACGAUCAGCCACACUGGCACUGCGACACGGGCCAGACUCCUACGGGAGGCAGCAGUAAGGAAUAUUGCGCAAUGGGCGAAAGCCUGACGCAGCGACGCCGCGUGGGGGAGUGAA